rnacentral:rRNA from 1 species
GACGAGGGGUCCAAGCGUUGUUCGGAAUCAUUGGGCGUAAAGCGGGUGUAGGCGGCUUUGUAAGUCAGGAGUGAAAUCCCCAAGCUUAACUUGGGAAGUGCUUUUGAUACUGCAAAGCUUGAAUGUGGGAGAGGAUGGUGGAAUUCCAGGUGUAGUGGUGAAAUACGUAGAUAUCUGGAGGAACUCCGGUGGCGAAGGCGGCCAUCUGGCCCAACAUUGACGCUGAGACCCGAAAGCGUGGGGAUCAAACAGG